AACGAACGCUGGCGGCAUGCCUAACACAUGCAAGUCGAACGAGACCUUCGGGUCUAGUGGCGCACGGGUGCGUAACGCGUGGGAACCUGCCCUUAGGUUCGGAAUAACUCCCCGAAAGGGGUGCUAAUACCGGAUAAUGUCUUCGGACCAAAGAUUUAUCGCCUUUGGAUGGGCCCGCGUUGGAUUAGCUAGUUGGUAGGGUAAAAGCCUACCAAGGCGACGAUCCAUAGCUGGUCUGAGAGGAUGAUCAGCCACACUGGGACUGAGACACGGCCCAGAAUCCUACGGGGGGGAGGAGUGGGGAAUAUUGGGACAUGGGCGGAAGCCUGAUCCAGCAAUGCCGCGUGAGUGAUGAAGGCCUUAGGGUUGUAAAGCUCUUUUACCCGGGAUGAUAAUGACAGUACCGGGAGAAUAAGCUCCGGCUAACUCCGUG
rnacentral:rRNA from 1 species